rnacentral:rRNA from 1 species
GACAGAGGCCUCGAGCGUUAGGCGGAAUCACUGGGCUUAAAGCGUGUGUAGGCGGGCCCGUAAGUGUCUUGUGAAAUCCCACGGCUCAACCGUGGAACUGCUGGGCAUACUGCGGGUCUUGGGCCAACUAGGGGCAGCCGGAACAAGCGGUGGAGCGGUGAAAUGCGUAGAUAUCGCUUGGAACGCCGAAGGUGAAAACAGGCUGCUGGGGUUGCGCCGACGCUGAGACACGAAAGCCCAGGGGAGCAAACGGGG